GGGACAUUGUGAAUUAAUGUAGCCGCUGA
rnacentral:piRNA from 1 species